CAGAGAUUGCUACUGUAGUGCUCGCUAGAUGGUCCUAGUUCCUACUGCAUAGCACGAGUCUGUGUAAAUGCACUCACACUGUGGUGCUCGUGGACAAUUUUAUAGUGUCUCCAGAUGCGGGGCACCGGGGAAUUAAAAUCAGGAUGGUGGGACAGGACCAGUUGAGAUCCCUGUAAAUAGGAAAUAAAACUUGCUGUGACAACUUCUUCCCCA